GACGGAGGAUGCAAGCGUUAUCCGGAAUGAUUGGGCGUAAAGCGUCCGCAGGUGGCAGUUCAAGUCUGCUGUCAAAGACCGGGGCUUAACUUCGGAAAGGCAGUGGAAACUGAACAGCUAGAGUAUGGUAGGGGCAGAGGGAAUUCCUGGUGUAGCGGUGAAAUGCGUAGAGAUCAGGAAGAACAUCGGUGGCGAAGGCGCUCUGCUGGACCAUAACUGACACUCGAGGGACGAAAGCUAGGGGAGCGAAUGGG
rnacentral:rRNA from 1 species